rnacentral:rRNA from 1 species
UACGGAGGGAGCUAGCGUUGUUCGGAAUUACUGGGCGUAAAGCGUACGUAGGCGGUUACUCAAGUCAGAGGUGAAAGCCCGGGGCUCAACCCCGGAACUGCCUUUGAAACUAGGUAGCUAGAAUCUUGGAGAGGUCAGUGGAAUUCCGAGUGUAGAGGUGAAAUUCGUAGAUAUUCGGAAGAACACCAGUGGCGAAGGCGACUGACUGGACAAGUAUUGACGCUGAGGUACGAAAGCGUGGGGAGCAAACGGG